AAAUUGAAGAGUUUGAUCAUGGCUCAGAUUGAACGCUGGCGGCAGGCCUAACACAUGCAAGUCGAACGGUAACAGGAAGCAGCUUGCUGCUUUGCUGACGAGUGGCGGACGGGUGAGUAAUGUCUGGGAAACUGCCUGAUGGAGGGGGAUAACUACUGGAAACGGUGGCUAAUACCGCAUAACGUCGCAAGACCAAAGAGGGGGACCUUCGGGCCUCUUGCCAUCAGAUGUGCCCAGAUGGGAUUAGCUUGUUGGUGAGGUAACGGCUCACCAAGGCGACGAUCCCUAGCUGGUCUGAGAGG
rnacentral:rRNA from 3 species